rnacentral:rRNA from 1 species
AGUGAGAAUGCUCACAUGAGUAACGAUAGGAGUGUGAGAGACACUCCCGCCGAAAGACCAAGGGUUCCUGCGUAAAGCUAAUCUGCGCAGGGUUAGCCGGCCCCUAAGGCGAGGCCGAAAGGCGUAGUCGAUGGGAAUCACGUUAAUAUUCGUGAGCCUGGAGGUAGUGACGGAUCGCGUGUGUUGUCAGUCCUUAUUGGAUUGGUCUGGCGGCGAAGCGGUUCCAGGAAAUAGCUCCUCCUUAUAGUCCGUACCCUAAACCGACACUGGUGGACUGGUAGAGAAUACCAAGGCGCUUGAGAGAACUCUGCUGAAGGAACUCGGCAAAUUACACGCGUAACUUCGGAAGAAGCGUGACCAUUCGACGGGCAACCGUCGGGUGGUGGCACAGACCAGGGGGUAGCGACUGUUUAUCAAAAACACAGGGCUCUGCGAAGCCGCAAGGCGACGUAUAGGGUCUGACGCCUGCCCGGUGCCGGAAGGUUAAAAGGAGGGGUGCAAGCUCCGAAUUGAAGCCCCAGUAAACGGCGGCCGUAACAAUAACGGUCCUAAGGUAGCGA